rnacentral:rRNA from 1 species
GGCGGACGGGUGAGUAACAUUUAGGAAUCUGCCUAGUAGUGGGGGAUAGCUCGGGGAAACUCGAAUUAAUACCGCAUACGACCUACGGGUGAAAGGGGGCGCAAGCUCUUGCUAUUAGAUGAGCCUAAAUCAGAUUAGCUAGUUGGUGGGGUAAAGGCCCACCAAGGCGACGAUCUGUAACUGGUCUGAGAGGAUGAUCAGUCACACCGGAACUGAGACACGGUCCGGACUCCUACGGGAGGCAGCAGUGGGGAAUAUUGGACAAUGGGGGCAACCCUGAUCCAGCCAUGCCGCGUGUGUGAAGAAGGCCUUUUGGUUGUAAAGCACUUUAAGCAGGGAGGAGAGGCUAAUGGUUAAUACCCAUUAGAUUAGACGUUACCUGCAGAAUAAGCACCGGCUAACUCUGUGCCAGCAGCCGCGGUAAUACAGAGGGUGCGAGCGUUAAUCGGAAUUACUGGGCGUAAAGCGAGUGUAGGUGGCUCAUUAAGUCACAUGUGAAAUCCCCGGGCUUAACCUGGGAACUGCAUGUGAUACUGGUGGUGCUAGAAUAUGUGAGAGGGAAGUAGAAUUCCAGGUGUAGCGGUGAAAUGCGUAGAGAUCUGGAGGAAUACCGAUGGCGAAGGCAGCUUCCUGGCAUAAUAUUGACACUGAGAUUCGAAAGCGUGGGUAGCAAACAGGAUUAGAUACCCUGGUAGUCCACGCCGUAAACGAUGUCUACUAGCCGUUGGGGUCCUUGAGACUUUAGUGGCGCAGUUAACGCGAUAAGUAGACCGCC